GUGGGGAAUCUUGCGCAAUGGGCGAAAGCCUGACGCAGCCAUGCCGCGUGAAUGAUGAAGGUCUUAGGAUUGUAAAAUUCUUUCACCGGGGACGAUAAUGACGGUACCCGGAGAAGAAGCUCCGGCUAACUUCGUGCCAGCAGCCGCGGUAAUACGAAGGGGGCUAGCGAUGCUCGGAAUUACUGGGCGUAAAGGGCGCGUAGGCGGACAGCUUAGUCAGAGGUGAAAGCCCAGGGCUCAACCUUGGAAUUGCCUUUGAUACUGGCUGUCUUGAGUUUGGGAGAGGUGAGUGGAACUCCGAGUGUAGAGGUGAAAUUCGUAGAUAUUCGGAGGAACACCAGUGGCGAAGGCGGCUCACUGGCUCGAUACUGACGCUGAGGUGCGAAAGCGUGGGGAGCAAACAGGAUUAGAAACCCCAGUAGUCC
rnacentral:rRNA from 1 species